GAUGAACGCUGGCGGCGUGCCUAAUACAUGCAAGUCGAGCGAACAGACGAGGAGCUUGCUCCUCUGACGUUAGCGGCGGACGGGUGAGUAACACGUGGAUAACCUACCUAUCAGACUGGGAUAACUUCGGGACACCGGAGCUAAUCCCGGAUAAUAUAUUGAACCGCAUGGUUCAAUAGUGAAAGACGGUUUUGCUGUCACUUAUAGAUGGAUCCUCGCCGCAUUAGCUAGUUGGUAAGGUAACGGCUUACCACGGCGACGAUGCGUAGCCGACCUGAGAGGGUGAUCGCCCACACGGGAACGUGGACAGGGACCAGACUACUACGGGAGGCAGCAGUAGGGAAUCUUACGCAAUGGGCGAAAGCAUGACGGAGCAACGCCGCGUGAGUGAUGAAGGCCUUCGGAUCGUAAAACUCUGUUAUUAGGGAAGAACAAAUGUGUAAGUAACUAUGCACGUCUUGACGGUACCUAAUAAGAAAGCCACGGCUAACUACGUG
rnacentral:rRNA from 1 species